rnacentral:rRNA from 1 species
GUAGGUGGCAAGCGUUGUCCGGAAUUAUUGGGCGUAAAGCGCGCGCAGGCGGUUCUUUAAGUCUGAUGUGAAAGCCCACGGCUCAACCGUGGAGGGUCAUUGGAAACUGGAGAACUUGAGUACAGAAGAGGAAAGCGGGAUUCCACGUGUAGCGGUGAAAUGCGUAGAGAUGUGGAGGAACACCAGUGGCGAAGGCGGCUUUCUGGUCUGUAACUGACGCUGAGGCGCGAAAGCGUGGGGAGCAAACAGGAUUAGAUACCCUGGUAGUCCGCGCCGUAAACGAUGAGUGCUAAGUGUUAGGGGGUUUCCGCCCCCCUUAGUGCUGCUGCUAACGCAUUAAGCACUCCGCCUGGGAGUACGGCCGCAAGGCUG